GGUCUCCUCUCGGGCUAGGGCACGGGGGAGGCGCGGGGAGGGGGCGCUCAGAAAGACUCAAAGCUGCGCCCGCGUCCCGGGUCCUCGCAAGGGCUCGCGAUGCGGUCUCCCAAGGCCGGGAGGGGGACGGUCCGGAGCUCCCAGCCUCUGUCCAGGGACCAGUGUUCCAGAGCAACGCCGUGGGCACUAGCUGGUUUAGUGGGAAGAGGAGGAGCCCCUUGCAGACGCUCUACGACCUGGACCAGGUAGGCGGACCCCUCCCCGUGCGCCCGCGUGGACCGGCUGUCCAGGGGCUGCGGCCGCCUCCGGCUCUGGCCAGGGAGCGAAGGCCGGGCCGUGACGGGGCGAACGCUGGGGGCAGGCGGAGAGACCUGGGGGCGUCCAGGUGUGGACUACGCCGGGCUCUGUGCUGCAGAGUUCCGCGUGGGGGACAUAAUGAGCAGUGGGCUGCGUGCCACCCACAGCAGGAGGGACGCGAAGGGAAGCCCCAGGCUCAGUGCCGCUGGGACGGGGAGACGGGCCGGGCAUGCCGCCCCCCACCCCCAGGCCUGAGGGGCCAUAUGCUGUUCCCAGUGUGCGCCAACUGAGCCCACAGGCCCAGCUCACACACGCCCCUGAAGGCGCCCUCAGCACUACUGAGCACCUGCCGGCUCGGGCCCUGCUCCAUCAGCGCAGGAGCCUCACCUGGACCUCUGCCCUUGUGGUGCUGAUGGGAGGGGCCUGGUGUAGGCGGAGACCCUCCCUGGGGCGGGGCGGAGCGGCGGGCGUGGGGGCGG
rnacentral:lncRNA from 1 species